rnacentral:lncRNA from 10 species
CCUGCCCCAUGCAGCCCAUGGAAACCACAGCCGGGUGGCAGGGUGAACACAUUCCUGGCAGGGUAAGAUCUCUUUUAAUGUCUUUUUGGAGGUGAUGAAAAUGUCCUCAAAGCAGAUUGUGGUGAUAGUUGUGCAACAUUUUAAAUUGGCUAAAAAUCAUUUAAUUGUCCACGUGCAGUGGGCAAAUGUCAUGAUACAUAAACUAGAUCUCAAUGAAGCUGUUAAAAACAUUCAAAUAUCGGCCAGGUGCAGUGGCUCCCGCCUGUAAUCUCAGCACUUUGGGAGGCUGAGCCAGGCGGAUCCCCUGAGGUAAGGAGUUCGAGACCAGCCUGGCCAACAUGGUGAAACCCCAUCCCUACUAACAGGACAAAAAUUAGCCGGGCGUGGUGGCAGGCUCCUGUAAUCCCAGCUACUCAUGAGGCUGAAGCAGCAGAAUAGCUUGAACCUGGGAGGUGAAGGUUGCAGUGAGCCGAGAUCACACUACUGCACUCCAGCCUGGGUGACAAGAGCGAGAUUCCGUCUCAAAAAAAAAAAAAGAAAAAAUUCAAAUAUCAAAAAUAAUUUUACUAGAGUAAGUAAGCUGUGUCUGUUUUCUUUACAUUACAAAUGAAAAAGUAUAUUUUUUACCAGGCUUAGGGAUUUUGUUUGUUUGUUUAGAAUUAGGGCAUAAAAUGUCAGAAAAAAAUGCGCAAAUAAGUUUAAAAUUAGUUUUUGAGAAAGUCAGGUGAAAAUGUAGUAGAGGGCCCUGCAGAUGUAAUUUUGGAGAAGGAAACAGGUUUUAUAAAGCAGCCCUGUGAAAUCUGAUGUGUCAGUACUGGGUUUUUCUCCUGUGUAAGCCGCACCUGUCCCGGGAGCCCCUGGGUAUAGGCUACUUGAGAUGUCACAUGCUCUACCUGGAGAAACACAAAUUGGCAGGUAUUAUUUUUUAGCAUCUUGAAAAAGUGCUAAUUGUCUCAGAUUCUGUUAAAAUAUAAAGCUCCAUUUUUAAACAAGUGCCAUAUGCUUUGUGCCUCUAGCAAAAUCUUCCUACAUGGUUUGGGGACUUUUAAAAUCCUACCUUAGAUGUAACACCUCUAAAUUAGUUAAGAAAGGAAGUGAAUAAGUUGGCUUUUAAUAGUAAAAUGCACAAACAACAUUCUCGAGGAUUAAUUUGGAAGCUGGUGACCCUAAGUGAAUUAUACGCUUUGGCCUCCUCUAAAGCAGUGGUCCCCCACCUUUUGGCACCAGGGAUCCGUUUGUUGGGAGGCAAUUUUUCCACAGGACCAGGAGCGGAUGGUUUUGGGAUGAAACUGUUCCAUCUCAGCAGAUCAUCAGGCAUUAGAUCAUCGGGCAUUAGAUUCACAUAAGGAGUGCGCAACCUAGAUCCCUCACGUGCACAAUUCACAAUAGGGUUCCACUCCUAUGAGAAUCGAAUAAUGCUGCUGAUCUGGCCAGAGGCGGUGCUCAGGUGGUAAUGUGAGCGACGCGGAGCAACUGUAAAUACAGAUGAAGCUUCGCUCGCCCUCCACUCACCUCCUCCUGUGUGGCCUGGUUCCUAACAGGCCAGGGAAAGGUACUGGUCUGUGGUCCCAGGAUUUAAGAACCCCUGCUCUAAAGAAAGGUGGUAGCACAAAGAUACUUAAAAAAUGAGUAUUUUAUGGCCAUCCUGUGGGUUAUUUUGGACUUUUCAGAAGUUCUUAAAUAAUCAGUUGUUCUUUCUCAUAACCAGAGCAAGCAUAGGCAGUCAGUCUGAGCCAUAAUCUAUCUGAAUCUGUAGAAAUAAAUUUGUCCACACUAUGAAACCCUCACGUACACUGAGUGGGUACCACUAACAUGGGGCUUGCCCAGGACAGAGGGAAGGAGGGAAGAGUCAAAGAGUAAAAGAGAAGAUAUGACUCGAUUUUCCAUUCUUCCAUUUGUAUCUGCUUAAGCAAAUCAUCUCAUUGCAUUGAUUGAGUUUCCUCAUCUGUAAAUGGGAAUAGUCACGUAUCAUCCCAGUGGCUGUGAGAAAGAAGUAAAAGCACAUUUUAGAUGCACUUUGUAUAUUUAAAGUCUUAUUCUAAUACUACCUAUCACUGUUUCUUUGGUCAGAGCAACAUUUCAGUCAUCAUUAGAUUGGGGAUAUGUAAAGGCCUGAAAUCUUCAAGCUGGACUCUAAGAUUAGAGUCUCCCAGCCACCAGCUGGUAUGCAAGGCUCUGGAGCUAUGAAUGGGUUGCUGGGGUGUCUGAGGCAGUAACCUCUUAGCCCUGCCAGCAGCAGCACAGGCCUGCGGUCGGUCUCUCUAGUGUGCCCUACAAAUAACAUUUUCUAUACGAGUCUUGACUUUAGAAGGGUGGGGAAGCACCAAGGAUUGAACAAAGAGAUGAGACAGUGUCUGAAUCCUCACAGCCACCCUGCAUCUCCCAUGGAUCUGGCGUUAAAUCCUACACUCUUGACAGCCAGCAGAUUUUACAUUUGAGGAGACAAAUAGAUCUCAUCCACAUUUGCUUGAGAAGCAUCUGCAAAAGCUCCCGCAUCAGAUGCACACACGGUCCUACAGGCCCAAGGGCAUCCUGUGUCCUGAGUGCCUGCCAAGACACCCGUAGCCCUGUGACAGUCCCACACACACGCCCUGCACCCACGGCCUUCACAUCUUACCUUUCCUGCUGAAAGACAUCCUUCCUGUGGCUCCCAAUGCUGACUCAUUCCUGAUAUAAAAGUCUGAUAGGAACUGCUAGUUACAUCAUUAUCUGAGUGGCCUCUCUCUGCAUAGCCUAGGGGUUAAGGCAUGGGCCCUGGAGUCAGACUGUCUGAUUCUAAUGCAGGGCCCUACUACUAUACUUUCUAGGUAAAUAACUGUGCAUCCAGUUCUUCAUCUGUAAAGAGGAGUCAAUGUGAGGGUUAAUUGAGAGAAACCAUGUCAGUAGUUCCUACAACUGAGAACGUUUACCCUGGAUGACUUAUUAAAAUGCAGUUUGCGCCCCCUGGCGUCCCAGGGUUUCUAAUUCAGUGGGUCUGGAGUGGCCCUGAGAAUUUUCCUUUCUCAAGUUCCUAGGCGAUGCGGAUGCCGAAGACGCAGGGGCCGAGCUUCCUGACCACUGAGCUAUGUAAGGGGCUUAGCCUGGCAUGCUAUCAGCACACGAGAAAUGUUAGCCAUUACUAAGAAGAAUAGGCAAUGAAGAUUUGCCUCAUUAAAAGACUUCCCAGUUGUGUUCUACUUGAAAAUUUCUCCCCAAGAAUCUUGUUCAAGUCGAGGAAUAAAAAAUCUGGUUCCUUUCAGCUCACUUUUCUUUGAAGUUAAGACACGUGGCACGACACCUGUUUCUAAACACAGCUACUUGAUGUAUUACUUUUGGCAGCUCUUGCAUAUUUUUUCAUCGCCAAUAAAGUUAUUGAAAUUGAAAUAUACCAUCUGUUUGAGAGUUUGUAUCAAAAAGACAGGUGACAAGGUUGCAGGUAAUGACAGAGUCAAGCUGUUCCCACAGCAAAGGGCUGUUCCUAGCUUCCCCGUCUGCCAAAAUUGACUUCAUUUCUUAGAUUUGACAUUUUUGAACCAAUAUGUUCUUCUGGAGCAGGGAUUAAAAAUCCAAUAUCACAAAACCAAUUGGUUUUACCUGCAGCAAUAUUAAAGACUAUGGAGAAAGAGCCCAACAAAUUUCCCACCAUUUGGCUGAAAUAGAACCAGCAGAGAGAAAGCAAAUUCUAUCAGAUGUACAUAUAUAUGUAAAUGCAUAUAUAUAUAU